GAUGAACGCUAGCUACAGGCUUAACACAUGCAAGUCGAGGGGAAACGACAUCGAAAGCUUGCUUUUGAUGGGCGUCGACCGGCGCACGGGUGAGUAACGCGUAUCCAACCUGCCCACCACUUGGGGAUAACCUUGCGAAAGUAAGACUAAUACCCAAUGAUAUCCCACGAAGGCAUCGGAAUGGGAUUAAAGAUUUAUCGGUGAUGGAUGGGGAUGCGUCUGAUUAGCUUGUUGGCGGGGUAACGGCCCACCAAGGCAACGAUCGAUAGGGGUUCUGAGAGGAAGGUCCCCCANAUUGGAACUGAGACA
rnacentral:rRNA from 1 species